CGUUUCUCCGCCGGCGACCGGCGCACGGGUGAGUAACACGUAUGCAACCUGGCCCCUGUCAGGGGGACAACCCGCCGAAAGGCCGGGCUAAACCCGCGUACAUGCCACCGGGGCAUUCCCGGAGGCAGGAAAGGCUUCGGCCGGACAGGGAUGGGCAUGCGGCGCAUUAGGCAGUAGGCGGGGUAACGGCCCACCUAACCGACGAUGCGUAGGGGUUCUGAGAGGAAGGUCCCCCACACCUGGUACUGAGACACGGACCAGACUCCUACGGAAGGCAGCAG
rnacentral:rRNA from 1 species